rnacentral:rRNA from 1 species
AUGCCGCAGCAGCUCUGGUCCGUUGAAGGGGCUGAAGAGGCCCUUGGCUGCCGCGUCGACCGCCUCGACAGCCGCACCUUCGAGCGGAGCCACACCAAGAGCUUCGCCUGCUGGGUGUGGGUUUGGGAUGUGGGGCUCAUCCCGACCAAGCACACAUUUUGGCCGAUGGAGCGAGGGGCGGGCCGUGUGGAGGAGAUGCUCGGGUUCUCUCCACCGGGCCGCAUCGUCACCGCGCCUCCGUCCGCAAGCCGGCACGACGUCCUCAUCCAUGUGGACCGCAUCAAAGAUUGGACGCCCUACGAACCGCGGUUGCUGCGCUGGGCGCAGAGUGGCCUGCCUUGCUCGGACUCCGAAGAUGAUGACAGACCCAUGCCGCGGAUCAUCCCCGUCGCCUCCUGGAAGAGGGGAGUGGAAGACGGCCAGCGCGAACCACAACACCGCCGCCAACUUGUCGUGCUCGUUGAUGUGGGCUACCGCGGUGCACCCCGUGGCGUUGGCUACAAGGAUGAAGAUGGAGAAGAUUAG